rnacentral:rRNA from 1 species
GAUGAACGCUGGCGGCGUGCCUAUACAUGCAAGUCGAGCGAACGGACGAGAAGCUUGCUUCUCUGAUGUUAGCGGCGGACGGGUGAGUAACACGUGGAUAACCUACCUAUAAGACUGGGAUAACUUCGGGAAACCGGAGCUAGUACCGGAUAAUAUUUUGAACCGCAUGGUUCAAAGGUGAAAGACGGUCUUGCUGUCACUUAUAGAUGGAUCCGCGCUGCAUUAGCUAGUUGGUAAGGUAACGGCUUACCAAGGCAACGAUGCAUAGCCGACCUGAGAGGGUGAUCGGCCACACUGGAACUGAGACACGGUCCAGACUCCUACGGGAGGCAGCAGUAGGGAAUCUUCCGCAAUGGGCGAAAGCCUGACGGAGCAACGCCGCGUGAGUGAUGAAGGUCUUCGGAUCGUAAAACUCUGUUAUUAGGGAAGAACAUAUGUGUAAGUAACUGUGCACAUCUUGACGGUACCUAAUCAGAAAGCCACGGCUAACUACGUG